rnacentral:rRNA from 1 species
CGACCGCUGGCGGCGUGCUUAACACAUGCAAGUCGAACGGGAUUUAGUAAACGGAAGCCUCGGUGGAAGAUUACUAAUGAGAGUGGCGAACGGGUGAGUAACGCGUGAGCAACCUGCCUAUGACAGUGGGAUAGCCUCGGGAAACCGGGAUUAAUACCGCAUAAAAUCGUAGAAACACAUGUUUCAACGGUCAAAGAUUUAUCGGUCAUAGAUGGGCUCGCGUCUGAUUAGCUAGUUGGUGAGAUAACAGCCCACCAAGGCGACGAUCAGUAGCCGGUCUGAGAGGAUGAACGGCCACAUUGGAACUGAGACACGGUCCAAACUCCUACGGGAGGCAGCAGUGGGGAAUAUUGCACAAUGGGGGAAACCCUGAUGCAGCGACGCCGCGUGAACGAAGAAGGUAUUCGUAUCGUAAAGUUCUGUCCUAUGGGAAGAUAAUGACAGUACCAUAGAAGAAAGCGCCGGCUAAAUACGUG